rnacentral:rRNA from 1 species
GACGUAGGAGGCGAGCGUUGUCCGGAUUCAUUGGGCGUAAAGAGCACGCAGGCGGUUUGGCAAGUCGGACGUGAAAAUCCGGGGCUCAACCCCGGACCUGCAUCCGAAACUGCCCGACUAGAGGUAGGUAGGGGAGAUCGGAAUUCCUGGUGUAGCGGUGAAAUGCGCAGAUAUCAGGAGGAACACCGGUGGCGAAGGCGGAUCUCUGGGCCUUACCUGACACUCAGGGACGAAAGCUAGGGGAGCGAAUGGG